rnacentral:rRNA from 1 species
AGUCGAGCGACGCAUAUCCAGUCCGUAAGGACAGGGUAUGACGGAGCGGCGAACGGGUGAGUAACACGUGAGCAACCUGCCCCACAGAUCGGGAUAGCCCAGGGAAACCUGGAUUAAUACCGAAUAUCCUCCUUGGACCGCAUGGUCCGUUGAGGAAAUGCCUUUGUGCUGUGGGAUGGGCUCGCGAUUUAUCAGUUAGUUGGUGGGGUAACGGCCUACCAAGACAAUGACGAGUAGCUGGUCUGAGAGGACGAUCAGCCACACUGGAACUGAGACACGGUCCAGACUCCUACGGGAGGCAGCAGCAGGGAAUCUUGCGCAAUGGACGAAAGUCUGACGCAGCGACACCGCGUGGGGGAUGAAGGCCUUCGGGUUGUAAACCCCUUUUAGGAGGGAAGAAAUUGACGGUACCUCCAGAAAAAGGACCGGCCAACUACGUGCCAGCAGCCGCGGUAAUACGUAGGGUCCGAGCGUUAUCCGGAAUCAUUGGGCGUAAAGAGCUCGUAGGCGGUUCAGCAAGUCGGCUGUGAAAGUUCGAGGCUCAACCUCGAAAUUGCAGUCGAUACUGCUGUGACUUGAAUUCGGUAGAGGAGAAUGGAAUUCCCGGUGUAGCGGUGA